UACGUAGGGGGCAAGCGUUGUCCGGAAUCAUUGGGCGUAAAGCGCGUGUAGGCGGCCAGAAAAGUCCGCUGUGAAAACUCGAGGCUCAACCUCGAGACGUCGGUUGAAACCACCUGGCUAGAGUCCGGAAGAGGAGAGUGGAAUUCCUGGUGUAGCGGUGAAAUGCGCAGAUAUCAGGAAGAACACCCGUGGCGAAGGCGGCUCUCUGGGACGGUACUGACGCUGAGACGCGAAAGCGUGGGGAGCGAACAGG
rnacentral:rRNA from 1 species